rnacentral:tRNA from 1 species
GAGCCUGUAGCUCAGCUGGUAGAGCAUCUGACUUUUAAUCAGAGGGUCCCGGGUUCGAGCCCCGGCGGGCUCACCA